CCCGCCUCUGCCUCCCGAGUGCUGGAAUUAAAGAUGAGGCUAGAACUGUAAAGUGAUAAAACUGUGCAUUCCUUCCCACCCAGAACCAGAUGAUGCAUGUGGUUGUCUCUGAAGGAGUACCUGUUGCCAUCCCCGGACCCAACAACCUAGAGAAAAAACCUGACCAUCCCCAGCCCCACUGGGUGUCAGCAGCAGAUCUUGGUAGCCACAAGGAGGAAGUUUAAUGUGCAUAUUAAUUAAAGUGGGAAAACAAACUUUAGAAGCCAGCAAGGUGGUGAUGAUGGGCUCAAUCAAGGGUCUGUUUACCACCCACGAAGAGCUCGUGUCUAUGGCAAUAAACAAAUAUUUACAAGACUAUUGAUCUUCAUCAAGUUUUAUACUCCCUGCUCUGCAUCAUCAGCGCCUUAUAGCCAUUAACUCUUGCUAUUCGAUCAUUUAUUUGAUCCUUAAAGCAAUGGGUAAGGGUGACUAUGUCACCAUAGGACUCGGUUGGAAUCCGGCUCAGGUCUGGAUCUGUCGGCCAUUUUAGAAAUCAAGGCAUGUCAGCCUCACAGAGGAAAGAUCUUUAGAUGACGAGACAGACAAAAAGGAGGAGACAGACACACACGAUCACCGAACGCACACUUCAACUGGUGGGAAAGGUAAAGAGAGCUGGGGUAGGUGUGAUCUGUAAUACCAGACGGACAGCCACAAACGCCCUGCGGGGGAUGAAAUCCUAAAGAAGAGGUUACAGGUGGCAGGAAAUGUUUCCCCGAGAGAUUGCUGCCUUUGAGUGGCAGGCAGCCAGGCUGCGGGAUGAGGGCAUGGCCACUGCGGGCUGAGAAACCAGGAGCCCAGAGACCAUGUUGUUUCCUGCUCAGAAGCCUGUCUUCUCAGGGAGAUAAAAUGUCGACUCUUCCUCCCAGGCCUCAAUCCUUGCCUUAGGACUCUCACUUUGCCCUUGAUGAGCCCCUGGGAGCCAUGCGGCUGUUUUCCCUGCGGGCAGACGGCUUUCCUGUCUGCUUCCUGGAGUAGCUCAACAGGUCUGGGGCUCCCUUGUGGCUCUGCCUCGGGCCUCCGCCGCACACCUGCGUCUUCCUCUCCCAGCCCAGUUCCCAGGGAUGGGUGGCUUUAGGAGUGUCGUGUUGCCUCCCUCUCUGGAAAUGGUCUCAUGUGCAGGGCUUUUUGCCUAUCUUGUUCCCUGCGGGUCCUGGCGGGGAGAGGGGCCGGAUAAAAAUGAACGGAAUGAUGAGCAGCCCAGGGGAGAGGCCCUGAUGAGGAACAGGCUGGCCUGUGCCUGGAAAGCAGUUCCUUGUGGCAGCGCUUCGGGGUAACCUGGAGUCUGCCAGCGCCUACAGGUUACCACAAGUAACUGCAGGCAUAGCCUUGAAAUCCUGAACCAAUAGAUGCCUUUACCCAGAUAUUCACCUGCAUGGCUGCCAAGAACACAGCGAGGCAAAAGUAUGGUGAACCUGGCUCUUUCACCACUGGUGGCACAUGUAUGUGUGAAAUGAACGUGCUGACAUUGUGAAUGAAGGCCUGUCAAUCAAGAUCGUCUACGAUGAGCUAUUCAUAAAGACAGGAGGAGGGACAUUGAAGAAACGACCACCUGCUCAAGAAUAAGACUGUCCACAGCAAUCAACCACCAAGAAAUACCCACACAGACAUUCCCAUAGGUCAGUCUGAGGGAGACAAUUACUUAACUGAGAUCCCCUCUUCUCAGAUACAUCUACAUUUAUAUGUCACAUUAACAAACUAACCAGCACACCAAGCAGGAGGACCAGAGCUGUAUGCAUGAGGCGAGCCUGGUUAUGAGACACUGUUUCAAAAAGUCUUCAAAGGGACCUUUGUCAAGUAAAGGCCAAUUCUCAUUAGGAGGCAAGAUGCCCCUUGUGUGGAGGCAAGAGCUACCAUCUGCAAACCUCUGUAUAAAGGCUCCUCUGUUUAAGAACCCUCUGUUCUCUGUGCACAGACAAGUCGGGGAAAAACUGGUCCCACUGUGUCUCAAGACAAAGGGACAAAUGAUUUUACCACAGGCCCAUUUAUUUCUGCACUCAGGAAAAAAGCCGGCCAAGCAUCCCACGAGGGCUCAGCCACUGGCUGCAGGUGAUAUGUGAACAGUCAAGCUCCUGAUGGGCCAACAUGCCAUGCCUUCCUCUCACCAUGAUGGGCUCGAUCGAUUUGGGACCAUAAGUUGCAAUACACCCUUUCUUCCUUAAGUGGCCAUCAAUCGUGACAUUUUAUCACAGCAACAGAAAACUAAUAGCACUGAUCCUUCAGGAAAGAAAAUCAAGCCCACAGGAAGGAGACACGGGAAGGUCUACAUGUGAAGAACAAGAGAGAAAAGACUGACACCGCAACAGGGUUAAAAAGAGAAUGUGAGCCGGGCGGUGGUGGCGCACGCCUUUAAUCCCAGCACUCGGGAGGCAGAGCCAGGCGGAUCUCUGUGAGUUCGAGGCCAGCCUGGGCUACCAAGUGAGUUCCAGGAGAGGCGCAAAGCUACACAGAGAAACCCUGUCUCGAAAAACCAAAAAAAAAAAAAA